UACAGAGGGUGCAAGCGUUGUUCGGAAUUAUUGGGCGUAAAGCGCGUGUAGGCGGCUUUGCAAGUUGGGUGUGAAAUCCCUCGGCUUAACCGGGGAAGUGCGCCCAAUACUACAAAGCUAGAGUGUUGGAGGGGGUGGCGGAAUUCCAGGUGUAGAGGUGAAAUUCGUAGAUAUCUGGAGGAACACCAGUGGCGAAGGCGGCCACCUGGCCAAAUACUGACGCUGAGACGCGAAAGCAUGGGGAGCAAACAGG
rnacentral:rRNA from 1 species